ACGGGGGGUGCGAGCGUUAUUCGGAAUUAUUGGGCGUAAAGAGCGUGUAGGCGGGUGAAUAAGUCAGAUGUGAAAUCCCUGGGCUUAACCCCGGACGGGCAUUGGAAACUAUUCGGCUAGAGUAGUGGAGAGGAAAGUGGAAUUCCUGGUGUAGAGGUGAAAUUCGUAGAUAUCAGGAGGAACAUCAGUGGCGAAGGCGACCUUCUGGACAGCUACUGACGCUGAGACGCGAGAGCGUGGGUAGCAAACAG
rnacentral:rRNA from 1 species